rnacentral:rRNA from 1 species
CCUACGGGUGGCAGCAGUGAGGAAUAUUGGUCAAUGGACGAGAGUCUGAACCAGCCAAGUAGCGUGAAGGAUGACUGCCCUAUGGGUUGUAAACUUCUUUUAUAUGGGAAUAAAACGUUCCACGUGUGGGAUUUUGUAUGUACCAUAUGAAUAAGGAUCGGCUAACUCCGUGCCAGCAGCCGCGGUAAUACGGAGGAUCCGCGCGUUAUCCGGAUUUAUUGGGUUUAAAGGUAGCGUAGGUGGAUUGUUAAGUAAGUUGUGAAAGUUUGCGGCUCAACCGUAAAAUUGCAGUUGAAACUGGCAGUCUGGAGUACAGUAGAGGUGGGCGGAAUUCGUGGUGUAGCGGUGAAAUGCUGAGAUAUCACGAAGAACUCCGAUUGCGAAGGCAGUUCACUGGACUGCAACUGACACUGAGGCUCGAAAGUGUGGGUAUCAAACAGGAUUAGAUACCCCUGUAGUC